rnacentral:lncRNA from 1 species
CCCCGACAGUGAGAAACCCUGAGGCCACAGCAACAGAGAAGCCCGUGCAGCAGGAAGAGGCAUCACGGGCAAAAAUACAUGAAUAAAGCUAUUUAAAAAAAAAAGACACUUGAUAUACAGGAAACUACAUCUUAGAAGCUGUUUUUCACAUAAAUUCUUCAGCAAAUGAAAUGAUGCCUUAAGCUUUUUAAGAAAGCCCCAUGAAAUCAACUUAGUCAACAGAAAGGAAAUUAAAAGUAGUUGACUAAGUCAAGG